CGGAUUGUAGUCUGCAACCCGACUACAUGAAGCUGGAAUCGCUAGUAAUCGCGGAUCAGAAUGCCGCGGUGAAUACGUUCCCGGGUCUUGUACACACCGCCCGUCACACCAUGGGAGUCGGAAAUGCCCGAAGUCUGUGACCCAACCGAAAGGAGGGAGCAGCCGAAGGCAGGUCGGAUGACUGGGGUGAAGUCGUAACAAGGUAGC
rnacentral:rRNA from 1 species